CGUUAGGACGAACGCUGGCGGCGUGCUUAACACAUGCAAGUCGAGCGAUGAAGCUUCUUCGGGAGUGGAUUAGCGGCGGACGGGUGAGUAACACGUGGGUAACCUGCCUCAUAGAGGGGAAUAGCCUUUCGAAAGGAAGAUUAAUACCGCAUAAGAUUGUAGUACCGCAUGGUACAGCAAUUAAAGGAGUAAUCCGCUAUGAGAUGGACCCGCGUCGCAUUAGCUAGUUGGUGAGGUAACGGCUCACCAAGGCGACGAUGCGUAGCCGACCUGAGAGGGUGAUCGGCCACAUUGGGACUGAGACACGGCCCAGACUCCUACGGGAGGCAGCAGUGGGGAAUAUUGCACAAUGGGGGAAACCCUGAAUGCAGCAACGCCGCGUGAGUGAUGACGGCCUUCGGGUUGUAAAACUCUGUCUUUGGGGACGAUAAUGACGGUACCCAAGGAGGAAGCCACGGCUAACUACGUGCCAGCCGCCGC
rnacentral:rRNA from 1 species